rnacentral:rRNA from 1 species
AGCUGCAGUCGAGAUCUUUCACAAUGGGGGAAACCCUGAUGAAGCGACGCCGUGUGAGUGAAGAAGGCCUUCGGGUUGUAAAGCUCUUUCGCCUGGGAGAAAGAAAGAUGAGCUAAUAUCUCAUCGAUUUGAUAGUACUAGGUAAAGAAGCACCGGCUAACUCC